GCCUGGGUGGCUCAGUCGGUUGAGCGCCUGACUUCAGCUCAGGUCAUGAUCUCGUGGUCCGUGGGUUAGAGCCCCCGCGUCGGGCU
rnacentral:tRNA from 1 species